UUCUCACCGCUGCAGGUGCAGAAAACAAGCCCUGAUACUCAUGAGAGCCUAUGAGGGGCCAGGCACUGAGCUAACAACUUGCGGAGCUGAGAGCUAGAGCUCCAAAAAAGCCAGCAGUGGGCCCAAAGCAACCCCUUCCUGCACGUGCCUCCAAAAGAGACCUUUCCUUUUCUAAUAGAUGGUGUCUCGCUCUGUCGCCCAGGCUGGAGUGCAGUGGCACCAUCUCGGCUCACUGCAAUCUCCGCCUCCCGGGUUCAAGUGAUUCUCCUGCCUCAGCCUCCUGAGUAGCUGGGACUACAGGCGCAUGCCACCACGCCCGGCUAAUUUUUGUAUUUUUAGUAGAGGUGGGGUUUCAGAAUGUUGGCCAGGAUGGUCUUGAUCUCUUGACCUUGUGAUCCACGCGCCUCCCAAAGUGCUGGGAUUACAGGCACGAGCCACUGCACCUGGCCUAGCUCCCUUUUCUAGUAAAUGCUUUUUUCACUUUCUCAACCAAGGGAGUCACUUUGGUUUUCCUGCCUUUGGAAGAUGUAAAAAUGAGAAUUCCAUACCUAUGGCAUAGAGUGUAUGGCAUAAAUUU
rnacentral:antisense_RNA from 1 species